GGGGGCGUACAGGCUUUCGACGGGGAUGACGAAAUCAGAAUAAGCGAGUCGUAGCUCCGUUCUACGUUAAAAACGGAAACUUAAAAAAUAAACGACAAAAAUUCUUUUGAAUUAGUAGCUGCGUAAGCACUACCAUCCGUUCCGCUUUCCUGCAAAGCGGAAUACGGGUGCCGACUAAGCAGGGAACCUCACAGCCAAAGUUUUGAGGCUGUGUGUGAUUAUGAAACUACUGAAAUACGAUCCUGCUCUAUGGGAGCGUACGUAGGGAAUUUAAAACAUAGGCUAUAUUCGUAGAAAGUUUUGACAACGUAUCUUCGGACACGGGUUCGAUUCCCGCCGCCUCCACCA
rnacentral:tmRNA from 1 species